CAUAAUGCAGCUCCCACUCUCCACUAGUGCAUUCAUCAUGCACAGCCAACUCCUUGCCCAGAUAUCAUCAAUAACAGAAUGAAAGACUGUGGGAAAGAAGCAUGGCUGCUGCAACGGGCACACUGUGUAUCUGAAGGGAUGCACCCUUGGAAAACUGUGUUGCAGUGCAUAUGGUGCCAGGGCCCAGGUGGGAUGAGCUGGGAUUGCUAGCAAGCCUCAUCUCUCUUAUACAAGGAACCAGGGAUGUGAGCAGAUCCACACCUCAGGUCAAGGUGCUGGAGCAGAGUCCAGCCAUGAUGUCAUCCCAGCUCCACAAGAGGUCUGAAGGCCCAGCAUCUCUCCUCCACCUGCAACCCAGCAGCAAGAAGUAGAUGGGAAGAGUGUGCAAGAUUUCUGAGGGAUACCUGAAUUCCCUUCAGUCUACUGCUGCUCCCACCCGUCUCUCUGCUAAUACACAGCAGUUACUUUCCACACAGUUCACUUGCCUAAUUUCCUAUCUGCAGUGGGAGCAGGAGUGGUAGGAGGUUCAAAUAAUUGUUUUUACAGGACCUGGUUUGCACAGAGCCUUUUGAAGGUCACACUGAUUAUUUCCUCUGGAGCAAGCAAAGUACCAUGUAAUUAUUGCAAAUGCCACCUGGUGAAAAAUCGCUCCUAGUCAAUCACCUUAGCACGGGGACAACUGCUGUAGCCCUUCGCUGCCACAGCAAAUCAAGCAGAAGCAAUGAUGGGUCUCGCAUGUCUCCCAUCUGGACUCUUGUAUUCCUCCAAAUACAGUAAAAUGGUGAAAUGAUUUCCUGAGAGGCCAGCAGAAGAGCAUCCAGCUCAGCAGGGUAUGCGGAGCAGAUGACACAGUGCUGAGACACAAAAUUCAUCCUUGUCGGGAAUGUCAGGUAUAGAAAUCGGACCCAUCCCACCAAGCAGCCCUGGCUUAAUGGCUUUUCUUGUAGAUCUCUGCUUCCAUUUAAUGAAAAUCUGUGAUGCUUACACUUUGAGGUGAGUUCUUUCAGUGUUGAGGAGGCCCCCGCACAGGGCCCAGCAGAAGGGUGGAAUGGCGGCCCAGCCACACCGGGUGCUGAGAGCACUGGCUCUCGUACGGCACAGUGUGUGCAGGGCCGGGGCGUGAAGGGCAAAGUGUCUGGAAAGAGACACGAGGAACAACACGUUUGGUUUGUAAACCUUGGUUUGUAGCUUUUAUUACAAAGCUUGGUUUGUAGCUUUUAUUGUGAGCCCCGCUCGGGGCGCCUCUUGCAGGGCCGAGCAGCGCGCUGGGCACUGCCGGCCCUCCUCUUGUGGGGCGUCGGGACCCCCCAGCGAGCGAUUCGUGCCUCGGCCGCGAGCGGAGGAGCCGCGGCUGCAGCCCUGGGCGGCGGG
ensembl:lncRNA